rnacentral:lncRNA from 9 species
CUAAAGGCUCUGUGCUGACGGGGCUCAUGCCUGCCUGGCGUUAUGACUGGCUCCUCACAGCACCGACGCAAGGGCUAUCUUGCCUUUUUCUACCAACAGAGACAAGAAGCGUUAUCACCAGGGUAUCACCACGUGGGGAGCAGACGUGCACCCAGGUCCCAGACAGACAAGCAACAGCUACUCCUGACUUGAUUUUUCAAAACAACAUCUCUGCAGUAGAACAGUUUCCCUUACAGUUUAAUCCAAAAGUAAGUCAGUUCUAAAAGAACUUUUAAAUUAUUAUUAUUACACUCUUGGAGUUUGUUUUGUGCAAAAUUGUCUCUCAUCGCUCUAAAGACACCUUAAAACCUAUAAAAAAAAGAUUCUGCUUUCCACUUGGUUCCUUUUCCUGUUUGACUUGGUCUGUAUCUUUUGUGAUAAAUGGUGAGAUCUUAAUGAAUUGACAGCACAGUGUUGGAAAGGAUGUCAGUAUGUUAAACUUUAUUAACUUUCAAAUAAUCCUCCUGUUUUAACCCCACUUCCCACCAUGGCCAUCUGAGGCAUCUUCCAACUCCUGAGCUGUCCCUGUUCCCUGGGUGGAUUUGCUUGCUGCUUGUUGCUUUAUUUCUCC